UACAGAGGUCUCAAGCGUUGUUCGGAUUCAUUGGGCGUAAAGGGUGUGUAGGUGGCGCCGUAAGUCGGGUGUGAAAUUUCGGAGCUUAACUCCGAAACUGCAUUCGAUACUGCGGUGCUUGAGGACUGGAGAGGAGACUGGAAUUCAUGGUGUAGCGGCGAAAUGCGUAGAUAUCGUAAGGAAGACCAGUGGCGAAGGCGGGUCUCUGGACAGUUCCUGACGCUGAGGCACGAAGGCCAGGGGAGCAAACGGG
rnacentral:rRNA from 1 species